UACGAAGGGGGGCUAGCGUUGCUCGGAAUGACUGGGCGUAAAGGGCGCGUAGGCGGAUGGCACAGUCAGAUGUGAAAUUCCCCGGGCUUAACCUGGGGGGCUGCAUUUGAUACGUGUUGUCUAGAGUGAGGAAGAGGGUUGUGGAAUUCCCAGUGUAGAGGUGAAAUUCGUAGAUAUUGGGAAGAACACCGGUGGCGAAGGCGGCAACCUGGUCCUUGACUGACGCUGAGGCGCGAAAGCGUGGGGAGCAAACAGG
rnacentral:rRNA from 1 species